rnacentral:rRNA from 1 species
GAUGAACGCUGGCGGCGUGCCUAAUACAUGCAAGUCGAGCGAACGGACGAGAAGCUUGCUUCUCUGAUGUUAGCGGCGGACGGGUGAGUAACACGUGGAUAACCUACCUAUAAGACUGGGAUAACUUCGGAAAACCGGAGCUAAUACCGGAUAAUAUUUUGAACCGCAUGGUUCAAAAGUGAAAGACGGUCUUGCUGUCACUUAUAGAUGGAUCCGCGCUGCAUUAGCUAGUUGGUAAGGUAACGGCUUACCAAGGCAACGAUGCAUAGCCGACCUCAGAGAGUGAUCGGCCACAUUGGAACUGAGACACGGUCCAUACUACUACGGGAGGCAGCAGUAGGGAAUCGGCCGCAAUGGGCGAAAGCCUGACGGAGCAACGCCGCGCGAGUGAUGACGGUCUUCGGAUCGUAAAACUCUGUUAUGAGGGAAGAACAUACGUGUAAGUAACUGUGCACAUCUUGACGGUACCUAAUCAGAAAGCCACGGCUAACUACGUG